UACAGAGGUCUCAAGCGUUGUUCGGAUUCAUUGGGCGUAAAGGGUGCGUAGGCGGCGCGGUAAGUCGGGUGUGAAAUCUUGGAGCUUAACUCCGAAACUGCAUUUGAUACUGCGGUGCUUGAGGACUGGAGAGGAGACUGGAAUUCACGGUGUAGCAGUGAAAUGCGUAGAUAUCGUGAGGAAGACCAGUGGCGAAGGCGGGUCUCUGGACAGUUCCUGACACUGAGGCACGAAGGCCAGGGGAGCAAACGGG
rnacentral:rRNA from 1 species